rnacentral:lncRNA from 1 species
UUUCUUCAUCUUCUUCGCCGGUUUAGAACCUUGCUUCUUUCUCUCUUCUUCUUUCUCUGUGAUCAACGCUUGAGCUUGCUUCAAUGCGAGCUCGCGUUUGGAAUUGCAGAGAAACGAUCAAUUCAAUGAUGAAGAUUCCACAGAAUCUCUGAGAAUUGAUCCAAAAAUUGUUGAUUCUGAUGAAUUUUGAUUUCUGGAAAACGGUUAGGGUUUUUGUUCUUGGUGUUCUUGAGAAAAUCUGAGAAAUAUUCUGUUUCUGAUCUAACUGAAUAGAGAGAGAGAAUCUGAUUGUGUUUAUGAGUUGGCGUGUGAUUAAUGGGUCUGUGUGGCACUGUACACCUUUUAUAGCUUGACAUGUGUGCUUCUGAACAAAUGAGAAAGUGACACCUGGACCUGGAGAAAAAAAAUGACACGGCCUUGGCAAACUUGGCUUCUGGACCUUUCUGCAAAAACAAAGAAUUUGGGGACUAAACUGCAAAAUUAAUUAAAAAAAGCUUGAAAUGAAAUUUAAAAAAUAGUUUGGACAAAAUGCAAUUUUGGGACCUCAAUUGAGGGACCAAAAUGCAAUUAAAAAUAAAAUUGAGUAAAAAACGUAAUUUGACCAAACGUAAAGCGAAACAAAAAAAUAAAACUAACAAAAUGGACUAAAACGAACCAAUGGCCUAAAUGAGGUACUUCAAAGUAACCUCUCUAUGCCAAAAUUUUGUGUGAAAUGACCAAAAUGCCCCUAGGGCUAAAAAUGACCUAAACAGAUUCAAAUUGACUUGACACUGACUCAGAUGCAAGUUUGAAAUGAAU